rnacentral:rRNA from 1 species
UAUAGGGUCAAGUGAAUAAGUGCAUGUGGUGGAUGCCUUGGCGAUUACAGGCGAUGAAGGACGUUGUAGCCUGCGAUAAGCCGCGGGGAGCUGGCAAACAAGCUUUGAUCCGCGGAUGUCCGAAUGGGGAAACCC